UCUGGUGGCCCCGGCGGAGCAUCCUCGGGGGCUGUUGGGGGGUGAGCGGUGGUGGCCCUGGAGCCAAAGCCCCCACAGCUGCUCCCCCCGCCAAGCUGGAGGCAGAGGAGGUGACUCGAGCGGGUGCUGAGUUGGGGUCUAGCUGCUGUCAACCAGAGCAGGUCUGAGCUCCUCCCGGGGGGGCACCUAGGGUCUCGGAGUGAAGCCCACUCCCUCGCAGCCAGCGGUUUGCACCCCGACCUGGCCUGAUCGCUCAGCUGAAGCCAGACCUUGCAGCUGUUUAGUGGAGGGGCUUCAAAGUGCGGCUCCCCCGGGCUCCCCGCUAAAGAGGCUCGCAUUAGGUGAUGAGGCGCCAGUUGGUACAAAGCAGACGCGCGUCCGGCACUUUGCCUCUCACGUGUUUCCUGAACACCGGGUUGUGUCAGGGCUCAGCAGAACUGGAAAAGCAAUUGCUCUGGGUGGGGGAAGGAGCAGGGACACGCUCGAGAAGAGCUGAGCCUGCAACUCUAGAAGACCAAGGGGAAGGAGAAGGAGCUCAAAGAGCACUUCGCGGGAUCUGCAAGCAGAGCAUGCCAGUGAGAUGGGAGGCGUUCGCCUCACCUUUGACCGGAGCUGGUUCUGAAACACUUGGCACAUGCAAUAGCCUGUAAACGCGCGGGCAUAGGAGCCUUAACUACCACUCCUGAUCUGGGCCUGAAGAGUGACCUGCAGUUUGCACGAGAGAGCAACAGCACCAGAAGACCCACAAUGAAUUUGCCAAAUAAGCAAAGCUACACGGUGUAAAAUGAGGUUUAUCGUGGGAAAACUGUGCUCUGACCACAUAGACAUGAUUUAAAAUCCAUAGCACUGCAGGAAAAGACUUGAGGCAUAAAGGCAUGUGGAGCUGAAUACAAAUAAAGGAGAGAUUUGGGAACGUGUGCUCUAAAGGCUUUGAGAAAAGUGCAGGAUCUAAAGCUGGGCGUUGCUCGGACCAAUCCGAGUAAAAAAAAUCCAGCUGGGCAGGGAUAGCUACAGCUACGGAUCGGCAGGAAACUUUGCAGAAAGCGAUAAAGGGUAUCGCCGUAGGAUGGAUGCAUUGGGAGAGUGCUUUUUGAUCUUGGGAGGUUAUUGCCUAAGAUGAACGCGUGCUGAUACAGCGGCACCUUCUCCAGCCUCCAGACAGCGGGGAGACCAAGGGCGGUGGGGCUGCUGUUGGGUAAGACAGCCCGACAAGCACACAAAGUGAGGACGGACGAGAUCCAGGACGUGCCGCCAUCGGAUCUCUAGGCCUACAGUAGCCGAUAGGCGAAGGGGAGUCUGAUCAUCCAAGCAAGGAGGCUAAUUGAACACUGCUGCUAAGUGUAACGAGUAGGGUGGUUAUAAGCUUUUGGGAUUGAGCGUUACAUGAAGACUGAGUGUUCGCGGCGGCGCAGGCUGGCUGGGAAAGGGAGAUGCGCCUCUUGAGGUCUGAACGAACUGGAGACAUCGCGGGCUCCUGGAAGACGGAGACCCGUCCCAGUCCUAGCUGCCUACAGCCCAAUUGCCAGCGGGCGCUGAGGGACCUCGAACCCGCCGUCACUUGUAGGCUGCCUUUUCCUGAACAGGUGGUGUCAUUCCAGGGCCCUGCGUCACCGCUGCUGUUUUCCUAAUGACACCUUGUGCUUCAGCAGCGCCUUUCAUCUCAGGAUCUCAAAGCACAGCUUAGGCCCUUCAUUAAGCCUCCCAACACCUCGGCAAGUAGCCUCCUCGAGGCAGCAAACAAGGCUGGGGCCUCAUGGUGCUGGGUGCUGCACAGGCACAUGGAGAGGAACAGGCCCUGCCCCGAAGCUCCCAGCUGGGAUAACCAAGUUGUUUUCAGAUGGUGAAAUGAGGCACGAGCAGCGAAGGGACUUGCCCAGGGUCUUCCAGGGACCCUGUGGCAGAGCUGGGCACCAGGACACAAGAGGAACAGACCCAGGCUUGGUGACGAUGUGUCCAGGGCCUGUGAGAGAAACUGGGGGAGGCCCGAUACACCCCAGCAGCCCACCUCCCCCCACUGAACAGAAAAUGAGAGCGGUCUGACGUUGGGGGCCUGGUAUUUCCUUCCCCCCCGACGGGCCCUGGAUGUGUCUCGCUGGCCCACUUUGCUGGUGUGCCUCAGAACAUCAGCGUGGCCUGCUUACACAGGCGUAUUCCCACAGGCGUGUCCUGGGACGGAGCCAGCACAUCCCGGCUUGGAUAUCUGCGAUCUGAGCUUUCAUCCCAGCUCUGGCAGCCACUCCCUGCAACACACGGGGCUCCUCGGUGCCUCGGUCUCCCUGUCCGUACAGCACAGCACACACCAAGGUGUCUUGCAGCGGAGCGAGGGGUUAAUACGUUAAGCACUGAGAAGAGAGGCUUCGGAAGCCAAAUUGGAGAUGCCGCUUCCAUUAAACAAGGGGGCAGAAAGAAGGUGCCGGGGUGAGAUAGCAGCAGAAGAAUUAGCAAAUGUUUCCCUUGGGGGCACCUCUGUCUUUGCUUCCAACGAAGCCGUGUGCAAUGAGGAGGGAACUGUCACUUGUAGAGACUUGCAGACAUCAGGAAGGAAGGUGCUACAAUAAUUAGUGCAAACCAACAGCGCUUGCCGAGCUGGGAAGGCUGCCAUGUGCUAGCUCAGCUGAUUCUCCGCUGACGGCUGUUGUAAUACCCUGAGCCCCCCCAAAAUGUCUCCAACAAACAAGCACAAGAAUCGCUUGCGGAGGCCCUGCACAUCCAGGCUCUGCCUUCCCCGCGAGCGUGUGCGCGCGUUGGAACCAGAGCUGGCUGCAAAGCUGGGUUUUCUGUUUUUUCAGGAGAUCUUAUUUUCACUUGGUUUUGGUCCAAAUCGGAGAGAAACCAAACAUUUCUGCAAUGUCCCACAAACUGGAAGUGCCCCAAGCCCUGCAGCUGAGACGGGAAACGGGCCGUUCUGACAACAGACCGCUUGCUUCCCAAGCUCCCAGCUCCGGGGCUGCCCGGCCAGGCAGGCUGCCCCGGGCCCCACGACCUGCGCUUCCAGGGGCUCCUGCUCUAGUCCAUCUGCCCCAUGUCUUGGCUUCAGAGGAAGGUCAUCCAACCCGGGAUGCUCUGAAUCACACAUUCCAGGCUCAGCGAACCAGCCUUUUCAAGCGAGACUUGGUAUCCUCAGAAAAUUUCCAGCCAUCUCUAAUUAAAACCUCCAGGGCAGGGGCAUCUUGCUGAAGAAGGAGUCAAUGCUCCUACAAACAAGUAUGUAGGGAGGAGGUCGAACAUUGCAGAAGGCCUCUUUCAAGAAGCCUGCUCUCGGGGUCCCAAAGCGACCAGCCCACUAUAUCUUAGGAGAGAAGAUAUCUUCAGUUUCCCGAACCUGCAGCCACUCAGCGACCUGCUUCAUAGUGACCUUGAACUAGCAAAAGAGAUCCACAGAGGAGAUAUCAUGAUGAUGGUUUCGGGCCAGGUGGUUUUACAUACCUGGCAGAGGUGAUCCCCUUCUUCCUGGCCUUGAAUGGCUCAGUGUAGCUGAGGGUGGAGACCUGUCCACUGCAGGCAGGCACCCUGCGAGCGUCUACAAAUGCCUCCCAAUGCAAGGAUCUCGGCUACACAACUGAUGGUGUUGGGGGAUUGCUCCUGGGCUCUCCCUCUAGCCUGCUCCUUCGGCUUUUUGGCUUGGGGCAAGCAAGACUAGGGGGCAUCUGAACCCCAAGGCCUCUGGGCUUGCUGCCUGCAUGUAGGAAGCCUGCCAUGGGUUUGGGAGUAUCUGCAGCCCCAGCCUGAAGAGGCUGGGAGGGAGGACACGUGCCGGUGGUAGCACCAUGCAGACUUGAACGAUUGAGCUCUGCUCACUCAAUAGACUUCAGAGCUGAUUUGGCUGAUUUGGCCUCAGAUGAGAAAUUAAAAAAAAAAAAGUCCACUGUGUCCACAUCAAUAGCAAGAGCCUUCUCCAGCCAAAGGAAUUCAUGCAUGGCUUGGAGAACAAUACAUGCAGAUGGUGGGGCUCCACCCGCCCUGGAGUGAUGCAAAAGCAAUGGGCUGCGUUUCGGGAAAGGUACGGGGUCAAGGCUCCUCCGCACAUUGUUCUAGUUUGCAGAGUCUCACGGGACUGCCAAAGAGUCCAUCAGACUUGGGGAGCCCUGUCGUCCCAGAUCCAAAGCUCCGAUAGCCAUUAACUUAUGGGAACGUUCGUCACAGGUCCGACACACCCACGCCACGUUGAAUGUCGUUACCCUGCCAAGCACAUAUUUCCAUGCUGCUGCCAAAAUCUCGUCGGCAUCACACAAUGAGAGGAGGAUCCUGGAGCUGCCCAGGGUGAAAGCCAUCCUGGCAUGGGGGGCCCUAGCACAGCGGGCAUCAGGGAAGCCCUUGGAGGUAGGCAAUGCACCCAGGACUUGUGCUGGCUCCCUGCAGAGGGUGGAGUUCACCCAAGGGAAGUGCGGGACUCAUGUGCGGCUGGGUUGGGCAUUAGGGGGACGAAGGCACAGGCUCUUCCCAUGUAUUCAUGCCCUGUCUGGAUCCAAAUGAGUGCUUGCCUCUUGCAUGGCUGAAAUGUUCCAAUAGCACCUUUCAUCUGGGGAUCUCGGAGCAGCCACUAAUUAUCCAGGACCUCAAACCACCCCGGUGAGGCGUUUCAGUGGUGUUAUUCUCCAUCUGACAGCCGAAGCCCCGGUGAUGGGGUGAGUCAGUGGCAGAACUGGGACUAGCACCCAGGUCCCUGCCCUAGCGCUAACCCAUAUUCCCUUCCUUUGUUCAACAAGUGACUCACUGUAAUCCCAUGCGGUAUAUUGGUCUGGAUCACAGGGGGCUGGGGUGGUUACCUGUCCUUUCUAGUGCCUUGCCGCCUCCUCUCCUCGCUCCCUGUUCUCUCUCAAUGCACCUGCUGGAUUUUCAAAUGCUGGAUAGUGAGCAGAUGGGGCUGGGGCCGUCUGUGUUGCUUGUUUGUACAGCACCUAGCACAGUGGGGCCCAAGUCCCUGACCGGGAUACUAUAAUAGCAAUAGAAAAUAGCCAUCAGGAUCAUUUGAAGCUUUCAGGAGCGGGCUUAGUUGAAAUGAAUUUCAUCUCAUUCGAUUUGCGUAGCAGCAUGAAGCCGCCGUUCUUUACUUGGAGCGUUUCAGCAUCGUGUGACAAAUACAACGGGGGCAAAAUCCGAAAGGAAUCGGAGUUAUAUAUACCUUCAUUUUCAGCUGCCUUUGGGCUAUUCUUUGAGCGACUUCUGAGCCCGGCAGUCCUUGCGUUGUCUGCGAGAUCACUUGCAUUCCUGGUUACUUUAUCUGAGACACAUCCAGCUUGGGAGUAUUUAUGGCAAUGCUUUCACUGCUGAUGUCUGUGCUCUGGGUGCCGUUUGCCUCUCCGCGGAGGGUCCCACAUACGCACCGUGCCUUCAUUUGUCAGAAGCAAGACAGUCUGCAGCGUCCGCAGCGUUUGAUCUGCCCUCGCGGGAUACGUCACGUCCGAGGCCUACCGCGCGUCUGGGAAUGCCCGUGCUGGGAAGGAAGCGAUGCUUUUGGAAACAUGAUAUGCAUUUGCUAUGAAUAAGCAGGGGCUAUCGAGUGAACUCAGUUUGUGAAGGGCGGUUUCAGACACAAGCACCAGCGCACUCCACCUCUUGAUUCCACAUUCACCACCACAGUGGCAGCUGUGUUUAUACAGCGCGUGCCCUCUGCACUCGUGUCUGAUCUUGGGCAAUUACUCCCAGCUCCGAGCCUGCAGGGACAGAGAGACAAGGGCCCCGGUCUCAGGGGAUGGAGCGAACGCCCCCCCGUUCCACCUUCUCCUCCUUCAUGCCAGACACCGAGGGAGGUUUCCCUGCUGCUCCCCCUGGCACCUGACAGCCUUGGUGUUGGAUGGUUUGGCUGACGACAGUGGUUUUAACUAAACCUUCUCCUAGUCCUGAAAGAGAGCCCUGUCCUCUCCGCCGCAGUCCCAGUCCUAAGGAGAAGCCGUAGUUUGCGUGCACAUUUAUAACAACCCCCCAGGAAACCUUUAGCCCAGCUAGAAAACUCCCGGUGGGUUUCUACACGCCCUCAAGUAGCAUCUGGAAAUUGCCCCCUCCUCUACUGGGAACCCCGGUGGAAACCACGUUCCAGUUCAUCUUCCUUGCUGUUCUUUUCCUAAACUUGAACAGGCCGUGGCAUGUUCCUGGCUCCAUCCCAUGCGGUUUCCCAGCAAGGCCAGCAGCUGCGAAGCUGGUGUGUCUGCUUUCAGCACUUCCUGAUGCCAGCGGACACGGGCGCAGACUGCUGCCUGUAUUCUUCAAGUAGCCUUUCACAAUUCCAAGCUAAUAAAUCUGAACGCUGCCAGCCACGGCCACUAAACUUUUCACCCCCACGGACCCUGGUGGAGGUCCAUCACGGUGCCACCACACCUGGCUUUAUCGAGACCUAAAACAUACACACCAGUCCUGGUGCAGUCUCCCUGGUAAACUCGUACGUCUUGGGAGAGAGACCUCCAGGCUUGAGAUCCACGCACUGAAGCAGCAGCCAUGGUUAUCCCUCAAGCCUUGGUGGAUACAAGCACUGUAACACAAGAAGGAAAAGAACCUGUUGAAUUUCCAGAUCGGGCUCUCUCGGAUAUUGCUGCUAUGACAAAUACUAGCUCUGGGGCUACGUUAUCCGUUCAGUUUGCUCUUUCCUUAGCCCAGUGCUGUUCUUCCAGGCUUCCUCGGCCUUCUCGCCAGCCAAAGGCAACGUGCGUCUCUGAUGUAGUCGUCAGGACACUUUCUUUUCUUCCACGGCUCUGCACCACCUUGUUCUCAUGAAGAACCUCGCCACACCCGCCUUCACCUGAGCCGCUGUCCUGUCUCUUAUCACCUCUCCCCACAUUUCGUCUGCCUCGGCACAAAGUGUUGCGGUGCGAGUCAGUGGCGGCGAAAGCCACGUUGGCAGGUGCAGAAUUCUGCCCUUUGGGGCAGCUGGCAUCCCCCGUCGUCUGCCCCCUUUCCACUGCGCUCAGCCCAGCCUACGUGCCCUCCCCUCCGCUCCCCUCCACUUUCACUCUGUCCCCAGCCCACCCCCAAGGCUGGCACUGAGCGCUGGUGAGUCGGAUCGGCGUGCUCUCUCCUCAUCCGCCGUUCUUUAUGCCCGGCAGGAGCUCUGCGGAGACAUCUCGGGGCCUCUUCUCUGUCGUCCUGAUCUCUCCUUAAACUCCGUAUCUGCGGUGCAGCAUUCCCCCAGGGUUAAGCCUCUGCCGUGCUGUGCUGCACCUGCCGUGUACUGCGCUGAUCCCUGCUGCCUCCCUGGUUUCUUGUCCUCCCCCAUCCGUCUGCAGCAUCGUGUCGUGAUUGUGAGUCAGGUGGAGCAAGGGGCUGUUUUCCUUGCACGUGUGUGUCCAGCUCCUUGUGACGGGGACGCUGAUCUCUGAUAGGGACCCGUUAGCUUGGCCUCAAGGCAAACAUGCACAAUUACUUUGCAGCACAGAUGGGAACAUGGCUGUGCCCCUGAUUCAUACGAAAUCUUGGGGCCUCUGCCCCGGUAGCUCUCAGCGUAGCAUCCUACAAGCAGGUAGAGCAGCUUUUUAGCUCGGUUGGUUAGAGCGUAGCACCAAUGUUGUGAGUUCGAUCCUAAGUUAGACUAGAUGACCUCUUGAGGUCCCUUCCAGCUUCUCUGUGGUCUAUGAGCUGCUCGCAGGAUCUGGCACAGACUGGGUGGGGGACACCGUUACGUGCACUAGGCCGCGCAGCGCAGCUCGGGUCACCCCGCGUUGCGAGGAGGUUCCCUGCCCUCCUGCAGCCGCAGCACAGAUGGACAUUUAGCCAGGCCCUUUCCCAGGCUGGUGAUUCUGGCGUGCUUUGCACGUGUGUCUGCUUUGUUGCUGCACCGUGGAAAUGGCCAGCAAUACUAAUUAUUACUAGUUAUUAGUAGCGAUGACGUCAUAGAUUUUCCAAAGCACCAAAGGGAUUUAGGAGCAUGGCGUCUUUCCAUGGGAUCAUGGCUCCUAAACACCUGAGGUGCCAUUGCGAAUCUUCCUCAUAAUCCUUUGAGGCUGAGAUUUUCAAAGGGACGUUGUAUGGGAGCUGGCGCCUAACUCCCCUGGGCUCUUUGGAAAAUCCCAGUUUGUCCCAGAGCCAGGAAGUUUCCUGCUUCCCUUCUCCUUUCUCUGUUCUGAAGAUCUCCCAUGGUAGCUUUCUGAUCAGCAUCUUGUUGCCAAGUUCAGGCUAGGAUACCUCCUCGUUCUGUCCUAGCCUUUCCCCAGAACAGUAGCCACACCUGUCCUCGCUCCUCCGUGUGUGUGUGUGUGUGUGUGUGUGUGUGUGUGUGUGUGUGUGUGUGUGUGUGUGUGUGUGUUUACGUGAUUACAGCUGCAUUGCAUAAAUCCACAGUCUGGACGGCUGCAGGAGAGUUGGCCACCCGCCCGUUCGUUAUCAUAAGAUAACCACUUUACCACUUUGGUGGAGCGGCAAUAGCAGGAGAGCGAAGGCUGUCAGGGAAACCCAGGCAGCUUAACAGCACUGAAGAUAAAGCAGGGCUCUUGAGUCCUACGCAGAACUGAAAGGGUGAAAGUUCAUGAUUCUCCUUAGACACUUUGUCCUUUUGCUCAUCUCACCUUUGUUCGAGGAUUUUAUAACUUGCUAUAAAACCCCAUGAAACAUGAGGAGUCAGGAGCCAAAUCCUGCCCCAUAUUACACCCUUGCAAGGGGUGGCUUGCUCAGGUGUGGCCAUGGACGGACUUUAAUGCGUGGAGACAAAUACGUUCCUGUGGUGUAGCAAUGCAAUUACCCCAGGGAGGAGUCCGGCCUGUAGUCCCGCGGCGCUCUGGCAGGAGCACACGUGCUACUAAGCAAAAGGCAGAUCCUCGUUUAGAGGCACCUUCGUUCCAGUGCUGCAAGAGCUCCUGGUCUGUAGGGAAGCAAACAAUUGCUCCAUCUCAGCUGGAUCCCAUGAAAUGGGAUCAUUCUGGUCCUUUCUCCUUCUCCCUGCAGAGAGCCAUAUUGCUCCUCAGGCUUGCUCCUCUGCCCUGGGGCUGGUGUUAUGUGCACGUGCGAUACAAAGCAGCGUGGAGAGACCGGUCACAUUUUGGUGCCUCCAGGAGUGUUGCUGCACCGUACCAUGCAGCAUGCGGUGCCUCAGAGCAGCAUGGCCAGUGGACAAGCCAUUCCUCAUAUUGCCCCUCUCCUGGAGCAGCCCCCUGGAUCCUGUGCACCAUAUGCUAUAAGAUGCUCUCUUCCUCCAGCCCCCUCCUGCCACCACGGCCCCACAGCCUGGCCGUGCUCUGGACACUGCUCCCCAACACGAGUACACAGUAGGAAGAUGCCCAAGGAGCACUGCACGCCAUGAUCUGUCACUUCUCAAUUAUCACUUCUCUCUGGCAAAGUCCAAAUUACACUGAAAGCUCCUUGAGGUGGAGAGCUUCCUUUUGCGUUACUAGGAAGCAUCUCCUGUGCAAUUCCUGGAGCUGCAGGUGCUCUGAAAUCACACAAAAAAAGAAUAUGUGCACCUUAAGUUCUAAAAUGAGCAGAAAGCAAAACAUUGUGCUUAGUUUGGUUACUAAUGAGCAGUCCUAAUUAGUUACAGGGGGGCUCAUUUAAUGCCUAGAACUAAGUAAUUGCAGGAUUUAAUUAAAUUAAGUAGAAUGACUGUGGUCCCAAUGUUGCAACUGGAUCCAGCCAGGCACAGACAUCACUCUCACAGAACCACGGGCAAGAUCAACAAUGAAUAGAGCAAAGGAUGCCAAAAGCGUUUUUUUUUUAAUGGAAGGGUUAAAGGGAUUAAUGUGUAACUUAAAAGUGAAGCAUGUCCAGGUAUCUCAAAGUAGCAAAGAAUUCACUUGUCUCAAAGAAUUCCAGUCUUGAACAGCUGUGAUAUAACCCGCCAGAGCAGUCUCACCAAGUCAGAGGUCUUACUUGUGGGUACCCAUCUUCACGAAAAAUGAAUUCAUCCUGGCACAGGUGUAGAAAAGGGGGAAAUUAGGGGAAUGAGGAGAAUAUCUUUUGAAAGGAGACUAAAAAAGCUUGCCUUAUUUGAUCUAGCCAAAGGAAGGCGGAGAAGGGACACAACUGCUGUCUAUAAACACAGAAGGGGGAGGGUGUGCGCGUGCGUGCGUGUGUACCAGGGAGGGAGAAGAGCCGUGUGGGCUAAAGGACAGCACUGACACCAGAACAAAUGGGGGAACACUGACCAGGAAUUAAUUUAGGCUGGAAAUGAGCGUAAGAUUUGUAACCACGACAGGAGGGAGGCUCUGCAACAGCCUUCUGCUUGGAGCAAAGGAGACAGGUAACGAAUAGGUCAUAAGAUGGAGUUUGAUAAAUUUAUGAAUGGCACUACGGGAUGUGGCUGGCUCUGACAGCUGGGGAUUGGGCUCAGGGUCCCCACGAGGCCCCUUUUUGUCCUGUGUUUUUCUAGCCAUUUAAUCCCUCUCAACUUGGGUGUAUACACUGGCCAGAGAUUUCACUGCGGCAUCCUGGCCCAGCGAGCUGUGUGUGAACUCGAGCACACCAGUUAGAGCAGAGCCCAAGCGCUGGAGACUUUCCCAUGUCCUUUGGUCAUCUGUUCCAAUGGCCGAAAAACUCCCCUUCUAAAAACAUGCGCCUUAUUUUAAUUUUGAACUUUGUUGACUUCAGCUUCUCACGACGGGAAUGUGCUACGCCUUUGUCUGCCGGAUAAAAGAACCUUCUGCUAUCAGCUAUCUUUUCCCUGGGGGGGUAAUUAUAGACUGCAGUCAAAUCACCUCUUCACCUUCUCUCAAUAAGCAAAAUAGAUUGAGCUCCUUCAGUCUCUGAGCGUAAGGCUCAUUUUACGUACUACAGCCAGACCUACAGAUGGCUCAGGCUGUGGUUUAUUCAUGAAAUUCCUGGCUGGGGAGGGCUGCUAUGCAAAGGUCUCGGUGUCACAGACUGAAGUAAGCAGCACGUCAUGCUACAUUUAGCAAAUCCUGUAAAAUGAAAGCUGUUAUUAUUACAAAUAGUGCAAACCACAGAAAUACUGAAGGGAGCGACGCUCCUGGGACUGAGAGGCUGAUGAAUGCCCAGCCCCAGAUGAGAGAUGGGUUAUACGAGCAUUUCAUAGGGUUCAUAGGAUGCAAAGAGGUCAUUGUAGAACUAAGGCUUUGCAGCAUGAGGAAGUAGGUGAUUCCCCUAGUUUCUUCCCUGGAAACAUAAAUCUCUAGGUUCACAAUGGGGGCCUACAGAGGCAGAUAAAUUCCAUGACAGCACCAGCACUCCCAUCUGUUGUUGGUGUCGUCGUGUCUGGACUGUCCCUCUCCUCACAUGCAGAUGCCUGCCCCAACCCAUUCCCCCAUCGCUCCUUCCAUCCUCUCCAACAAAGCCCCUGCCACAAAGCACCCGUUUCCACCCUGCACAGCACCUCCACGAAACCCCUGGACACGGGCAGAUCCUGGAUUUUGAAAUGGGGGGUGCAGAUGGUGGGGUGCAUCAUCACCUAGAACACAACACACGUUUUUCUCUAGUUAAAAAAGAAACGAGACGCUUCACUAAUAAGUAGGGGCCCAGAGCUGUAGUUUUCCAUUUCAGAUUGAAGCAAAAAAAUAAAAACUUUAUUGGAAUGUGCAUUCCUUUUCUGUAUCAUGUAUUAUAUAUAACAACACAGCAAGGUAGGCCAAAUAAUCCCAAGAUAUUGUAUGAUUAGGCCUGGCUUGGGGGCAGACUUUGUGGGUGCUCUGGGGCUCAAGCACCCACUGAAAAAAAUCUGGUGCUCAGCACCCAUGAGCCAUGGCUGCUUUGGUUUUACAUGUUAGGCAAAAACCAAGUCUGUACUUAUGAGUCCUGGAGUCAUUACAGUCAAAUGCACGUCUCUUUUUCACAUUCAUAAAACAAAGGCAAACUGUCUCGAGCAUCUGGACAGUGCCUCCAGUGCUUCCCUGAAAGCGAUUUCCACACCUGCGCUGACGUUCCCUUGAGUUAGUAUUUCCACACCUGAGUUU